GACGAACGCUGGCGGCGUGCUUAACACAUGCAAGUCGAGCGGUAAGGCCCUUUCGGGGGUACACGAGCGGCGAACGGGUGAGUAACACGUGGGUGACCUGCCCUCAGCUCUGGGAUAAGCCUGGGAAACCGGGUCUAAUACUGGAUAUGACUCCAUGACGCAUGUUGUGGGGUGGAAAGCCUUGUGCGGCUGAGGAUGGGCCCGCGGCCUAUCAGCUUGUUGGUGGGGUGANGGCCUACCAAGGCGACGACGGGUAGCCGGCCUGAGAGGGCGACCGGCCACACUGGGACUGAGACACGGCCCAGACUCCUACGGGAGGCAGCAGUGGGGAAUCUUGCGCAAUGGGCGAAAGCCUGACGCAGCGACGCCGCGUGGGGAUGACGGCCUGU
rnacentral:rRNA from 1 species